UUAUUAUGGUGUAUUAUAGAUGCUCUCCUGUAUGAUCUCACCCUAUAACCAGAGAUAAAUACGGUAUUCACUUAUGAAGUAGGAAACAGGAUAAACUAAUAGCUUAUUGAUAAAACAAAACAGAUGUAAUGGAAUGUAAAAACAUGAAGUUAUUAUUUGUGUAUGUGUUUUUUGCUGGAAUAUCUUUUGCAAUUCGCGUGGAAUUCAAGCUUGGAAUGGCAACAGCAGCUUAUCAAAUUGAGGGUGGAUACAACUGUGACGACACAGCAUUAUUUAUGCAGCAAAAAAUGAUCAUGACUGGGCGACAUUUUUCGUUGUGGAAAUUUCUUUUACGAUUUUUCUGAUUUUCUGGUAGAAAAAGUGAUUUUUCUGUGCACUAUUUGAGCUUAUUCUGUCCCUUAAGGCCUGUUUAAUCUACUGGAAACUAAUAAAUCAGUGUGUCAAUAAUAUCACACAAGAGAAUGGUGUCUUUCUGUAUCCUUUCCCAGAAGAGGAGACCUGGAUCAUCCUCUAACUUUGAUGUUCGGCCAUCAAUGACCUGCAUAGCAAGUACAGGUACCCGAGACAGUUACUACCCUCCAUGUCUAAAAGCUGGCGGAGGCUGAGGGUUUAUCUUUGACCAUAGGUUAAAUUAGCUGGGGGGCAGGAAGGUAAAACAUCAAAAAUCACAUCAGGAGACGAAGAUUUAUCAGAGGAGGUUUAUAUAAAGGCUAAGUUAUAUCUUCAACUACUGCAGUAGAAGAAAUUCAAAAUCUGUUAAUAAUACCACACAAGAGAGAACGGUGUCUUUCUGCAUCCUUCCACAAGAGGGCACCUGGAUCAUUCUCUGACUCUGAUGUUUGGCGAUUGGGGACCUGCAUAGCAUAUAUGGGUACCCAAGGAAGUUACCACCUUCUAUGUCUAUUAGCCGGGUGAUGCUUAAUCUUUGACCGAGGCAGAUGAAUAUGCAUCAGGAGACAAAGAUUUAUGAUAAAUGGAGGAUAGCAUGACAUAGUUUAGCUCAAUCUUGUAUUUCUAAACACUAGAUUACAAGGAAUUAAAAGAAUACGUCAGGUUUGCGUCAGUUCAUUUACAAGUAUAUUGAAAAAAGUAUUGACAGUGACAAGAGUAUUGAAAAAAGUAUUUGCUAAACUUUAAUAGUAAAGUGUUU
rnacentral:lncRNA from 1 species